AUUAACGCUAGCGGCAGGCAUAAUACAUGCAAGUUGAACGGCAGCACAGGUAGCAAUACUGGGUGGCGAGUGGCGCACGGGUGCGUAACACGUAUGCAACCUACCCUAUACAGGCGAAUAACCUUUAGAAAUGAGGGCUAAUACGCCGUAGUAUUACAGAUGGGCAUCUAUUUGUAAUUAAAGAUUUAUCGGUAUAGGAUGGGCAUGCGUCCCAUUAGUUAGUUGGUAAGGUAACGGCUUACCAAGACG
rnacentral:rRNA from 1 species